AUGCAGCAACGCCGCGUGAGUGAUGAAGGCCUUCGGGUUGUAAAGCUCUGUCUUUGGGGACGAUAAUGACGGUACCCAAGGAGGAAGCCACGGCUAACUACGUGCCAGCAGCCGCGGUAAUACGUAGGUGGCAAGCGUUGUCCGGAUUUACUGGGCGUAAAGGGAGCGUAGGUGGAUAUUUAAGUGGGAUGUGAAAUCCCCGGGCUUAACCUGGGGGCUGCAUUCCAAACUGGAUGUCUAGAGUGCAGGAGAGGAGAGUGGAAUUCCUAGUGUAGCGGUGAAAUGCGUAGAGAUUAGGAAGAACACCAGUGGCGAAGGCGACUCUCUGGACUGUAACUGACACUGAGGCUCGAAAGCGUGGGGAGCAAACAGGAUUAGAUACCCUGGUAGUCAA
rnacentral:rRNA from 1 species